rnacentral:rRNA from 1 species
GAUGAACGCUAGCGGCAGGCCUAACACAUGCAAGUCGAGGGGUAACAGGAGUAGCAAUACUUGCUGACGACCGGCGCACGGGUGAGUAACGCGUAUGCAACCUACCCAUAACAGUGGGAUAGCCCGGAGAAAUUCGGAUUAAUACCGCAUAAUAUUAUCGGACCGCAUGGUUUGAUGAUUAAAUUUACGGAGGUUAUGGAUGGACAUGCGUGACAUUAGAUAGUUGGUGAGGUAACGGCUCACCAAGUCAGCGAUGUCUAGGGGGCCUGAGAGGGUAAUCCCCCACACUGGUACUGAGACACGGACCAGACUCCUACGGGAGGCAG